GAGCAUAUAGCUCAGUUGGUAGAGUGCUUGCCUUGUAGGCACAAGGCCCUGGGUUCAAUCCCCAGUACAACCA
rfam:Ictidomys tridecemlineatus contig000576, whole genome shotgun sequence.